GAAAUGAAUAGAGGGAGCAGAUUCAAUUGUUCUGAAGAAAGAAAGUGGAGGUAUGAGUGGAAACAACGGCGGUGGAAACGGGUCGGGUCAGGGUCCUCCGGUGAGGAGGCCGCAUCCCUCCGGUACAUUCGCCAACGUUCCGCCCAACCGAGCGGAAAGCCGAAAAACGAUCAUAAUGGAUUUGAAGUAUUUGGAUGUUUAUUAAUUGGUUGGAAUGCCGCCAUUUCAAAUCUCUAUAUCAUUGCAGAAAUUGUUGAAAGAACUCAAUAAACCUCAUCUGAUUCUUCUCUAAGGUUUUGUACCUGCUUGUCUUAUGUAAGAGACAAAGUGUGUUGUGAUGUUUAUUACACCCUAUCAACAACUUUAUCUUAAGCUUGUGGGUCGCAGGUUUUGUGUCUUUUUAUGGUAUUUCUUGAAUAGGUGUCAGAUCUGUGAUAGUCUUUAUGGUUUUCUGAUACACUAGGUAUGUUUAACGGAAUCAUCCUUCUUUCUGA